rnacentral:rRNA from 1 species
UAAUAUUAACUUAUCUGGUUUUCUUAUUUUAAGGUAAUAUACACAAAUAAUUUAUAAAUUUAAUUAGCAAGUAAAAUAAUUGAAAGUUUAAAGUUUUAGAUGAUAGCACACAAGUAUUGUAAAAGAAAGUUUAAAUAUUGGCAUUUAUUUAAAAGAAGUGGUUAACGUGUGUACCUUUUGUAUCAGGGGCUAAUAAUUUAUUUGUUUUAUUAAAUUAGGUCCCGAAAUAAUAGGAGCGACUUUAUAAUAAUUUUUUACGUUGUAAAGUGAUAUUUUAUUUUAAAGUAGUAAUGAUAUUUUAGUCGACUAUUAUAUAUCUGGUUGUUUCUGAGAAAAGUUUAAUUUUAAAGGUUAUUUUAAUUAAUAUACCUUUUUAGUGUGGGAGGCAUGAGCUUCUUAUAGUAGCUUACAUUAGAGUUAGAAAUUUUAUUGAGCUUAGUUGGGCUUAGAAUUAGCUUUAUUGAUAUUAUGUUUUAAUUAAAGCUUCUGUUAUUGUUAUAAUUUAUAUGUUUUUAUGUGUUGUUAAGAGACAUUAAAGUUUAAUGUUAAAUUUUUAAUUAAAGUGUUUGUAUUAGUAGGGUUAAGCUUGUUUUUUUUUCUCAAGUUAUUUUUAAAGUUUUAAUAUUUUAAAGGUGUUUAAAAGGAAUUCGGCAAAUAAUACUCUUGCCUGUUUAUCAAAAACAUGUCUGUGUGUUUAUUAAUACAAAGUCUGACCUGCCCACUGAAAUACUUUUAAAGGGCCGCGGUAAUUUGACCGUGCGAAGGUAGCAUAAUCAAUAGUCUCUUAAUUGGAGGCCGGAAUGAAUGGUUGGACAAAGAGUUAACUGUCUUUUAAAUAAGUGCUUGAAUUUUACUUUUAAGUGAAAAGGCUUAAAUUUAUUAAGGGGACGAUAAGACCCUAUAAAACUUUACAUAUUUAAGUAUGUAUUUUUUGAAUUGAAGUGUAAUAAUAAUUACUACUUGUUUGUUAUGUUGGGGCGAUAGAGAUAAAAUAAGUAACUGUCAUUUUUAUUAAAUAGAAAUAUCUAGUUUAGUUGAUCCUUUAUUAAAGAUUAUAAGAUAAAGUUACUUUAGGGAUAACAGCGUAAUUUUCUUUGAGAGUCCAUAUCGACAAGAAUAGUUGCGACCUCGAUGUUGAAUUAAGGUUUCCUUUAAAUGUAGCAGUUUAAGGGGUGGGUCUGUUCGACCCUUAAAGCCUUACAUGAUUUGAGUUCAAACCGGUGUGAGCCAGGUUGGUUUCUAUCUUUUAUUAAAUCAUUAAGCUGUCUUAGUACGAGAGGAUUGGUUAGCUAGAAAAGUUCUUAGGUUAUGAUUAAAUUUAAUUU